rnacentral:rRNA from 1 species
CCUACGGGAGGCAGCAGUGAGGAAUAUUGGUCAAUGGACGAGAGUCUGAACCAGCCAAGUAGCGUGAAGGAUGACUGCCCUAUGGGUUGUAAACCUCUUUUGUCGGAGAACAAAACCCGGGACGUGUCCCGGACUGCGUGUAUCCGAAGAAAAAGCAUCGGCUAACUCCGUGCCAGCAGCCGCGGUAAUACGGAGGAUGCGAGCGUUAUCCGGAUUUAUUGGGUUUAAAGGGUGCGUAGGCGGUCCGUUAAGUCAGCGGUAAAAUUGCGGGGCUCAACCCCGUCGAGCCGUUGAAACUGGCAGACUUGAGUUGGCGAGAAGUACGCGGAAUGCGCGGUGUAGCGGUGAAAUGCAUAGAUAUCGCGCAGAACUCCGAUUGCGAAGGCAGUUCACUGGACUGCAACUGACACUGAGGCUCGAAAGUGUGGGUAUCAAACAGGAUUAGAUACCCCUGUAGUC